rnacentral:rRNA from 1 species
GCUCAGAACGAACGCUGGCGGCGUGCUUAACACAUGCAAGUCGAACGAACCUUCGGGUUAGUGGCGGACGGGUGAGUAACGCGUGAGAAUCUGCCCUCAGGAGGGGGAUAACGGUUGGAAACGACCGCUAAUACCCCAUAUGCCGAGAGGUGAAAAGAAAUUCGCCUGAGGAUGAGCUCGCGUCUGAUUAGCUAGUUUAUCUCGUAAUGGCGCGGGCAGGAAUUCGAUCAGUAGCUGGUCUGAGAGGAUGAUCANCCAC